rnacentral:rRNA from 1 species
UACGGGGGGGGCAAGCGUUGUUCGGAAUUACUGGGCGUAAAGGGCUCGUAGGUGGCCAACUAAGUCAGACGUGAAAUCCCUCGGCUUAACCGGGGAACUGCGUCUGAUACUGGAUGGCUUGAGUUCGGGAGAGGGAUGCGGAAUUCCAGGUGUAGCGGUGAAAUGCGCAGAUAUCAGGAGGAACACCGGUGGCGAAGGCGGGUCUCUGGGCCGAUACUGACGCUGAGGAGCGAAAGCGUGGGGAGCAAACGGG